rnacentral:rRNA from 1 species
AUUGAACGCUGGCGGCAGGCCUAACACAUGCAAGUCGAACGGCAGCACAGAAGAGCUUGCUCUUUGGGUGGCGAGUGGCGGACGGGUGAGUAACACGUAGGAAUCUACCCAGUAGUGGGGGAUAACCUGGGGAAACCCAGGCUAAUACCGCAUACGCCCUGAGGGGGAAAGCGGGGGAGUCUUCGGACCUCGCGCUAUUGGAUGAGCCUGCGUCGGAUUAGCUAGUUGGUGGGGUAAGGGCCCACCAAGGCGACGAUCCGUAGCUGGUCUGAGAGGAUGACCAGUCACACCGGAACUGAGACACGGUCCGGACUCCUACGGGAGGCAGCAGUGGGGAAUAUUGGACAAUGGGCGCAAGCCUGAUCCAGCCAUGCCGCGUGGGUGAAGAAGGCCUCGGUUGUAAG